rnacentral:rRNA from 1 species
CCCUUAGAUGUUCUGGGCCGCACGCGCGCUACACUGAUGCAUUCAACGAGCCUAUCCUUGACCGACAGGUCCGGGUAAUCUUUGAAUCUGCAUCGUGACGGGGAUAGAUUAUUGCAAUUAUUAAUCUUCAACGAGGAAUGCCUAGUAGGCGCAAGUCAUCAGCUUGCGUCGAUUACGUCCCUGCCCUUUGUACACACCGCCCGUCGCUCCUACCGAUUGAAUCGUUUAGCGAGAAUUUUGGAUCGGAGCCCUGGUGGGCAGCGAUGUCCGCCUGGGAUUUACCGAGAAAUCAUUCCAGCUUGCCGAUUUAGAGGAAGUAAAAGUCGUAACA